UACGAAGGGGGCUAGCGUUGCUCGGAAUCACUGGGCGUAAAGCGCACGUAGGCGGACUCUUAAGUCGGUGGUGAAAUCCUGGAGCUCAACUCCAGAACUGCCUUCGAUACUGAGAGUCUCGAGUCCGGGAGGGGUGAGUGGAACUGCGAGUGUAGAGGUGAAAUUCGUAGAUAUUCGCAAGAACACCAGUGGCGAAGGCGGCUCACUGGCCCGAUACUGACGCUGAGGCACGAAAGCGUGGGGAGCAAACAGG
rnacentral:rRNA from 1 species